GAGGGUAUAGCUCAAGUGGUAGAGUGCAUGCUUAGCAUGCAGGAGGUCCUGGGUUUGAUCCCCAGAAUCUCCA
rfam:Camelus ferus unplaced genomic scaffold scaffold368, whole genome shotgun sequence.